CAGCUGCGGCAACUGAAUUACUAAAAUUGGAGUGACACGGAAGGUGAGCAGGGCCCUUGCGCAAAGGAUGACAUGCAAAUUCGUGAAGCCUUCCAUAUUUUU